UUCAUUGUUGUCAAUGAUGUGUUGGAACUGAAUCUAAGUGAUCUAACAUAAAUACUCGUCACUACCACUGAGACAACAAUGAA